rnacentral:misc_RNA from 1 species
UAAGGAGCAUUCUCCAAUCCAAUGUCCACACAGGUGGAUGGUUGGUUGGCAGAGCCUGUUUCGGACCCACUUGUGGUCCGGCGGGAGCUCAUGGGUGGACGCUGACAAACUUCCUCGCAUUACGUCAGAUCACAUGAUCUGCCGGCGAGUGCAAUAUAUCGACAUACUGUUGGGUCCUGAGAGAACACGUGAGUGUUUCUUUCUAGGAAGUAACCACCAAUGGCUGCUGCCGGUCAUACCGCAAGAUUAUUCCUGAAGUGGUUUUGGUGGUGUCUGCCUGAAGGGGUUGUUGUGUGUUGUUUGAAAACUGCACAGUGGACCCCAGCAUCUUUG